UUCACGGCCAAAGUCUCUGCCGAUCCGUAACAACACCUUGUUCAAGUGAUUUCUUGAUGUCUCUGUGGAGCCAUUGAGCCUUGUACCUUACUGGAGGCUGCAGAAUUGUCUGCAUAUGGACAUCUCCCCAGCUUUGGAAGGGGGACUGAGGUCCAGGAUGAACAUGCCAGCUAAUGGGAAAUCACCACAGAGGUUCCCUGCACAGAUUCCAGGAGAACCUGGAAGACCAUUUGAGUAUUGGGGAUGGAACCCAGGGCCUCAUGUAUGCUGGA